rnacentral:rRNA from 1 species
GACGAACGCUGGCGGCGUGCUUAGCACAUGCAAGUCGAACGGAAAGGCCCUGCUUUUGUGGGGUGCUCGAGUGGCGAACGGGUGAGUAACACGUGAGUAACCUGCCCUUGACUUUGGGAUAACUUCAGGAAACUGGGGCUAAUACCGGAUAGGAGCUCCUGCUGCAUGGUGGGGGUUGGAAAGUUUCGGCGGUUGGGGAUGGACUCGCGGCUUAUCAGCUUGUUGGUGGGGUAGUGGCUUACCAAGGCUUUGACGGGUAGCCGGCCUGAGAGGGUGACCGGCCACAUUGGGACUGAGAUACGGCCCAGACUCCUACGGGAGGCAGCAGUGGGGAAUAUUGCACAAUGGGCGGAAGCCUGAUGCAGCAACGCCGCGUGCGGGAUGACGGCCUUCGGGUUGUAAUCCGCUUUCGCCUGUGACGAAGCGUGAGUGACGGUAAUGGGUAAAGAAGCACCGGCUAACUACGUG